rnacentral:tRNA from 1 species
GGACCGUAGCUCAACUGGCGAGAGCGCCAGAGUACCGUUCUAAAGGUCGCGGGUUCAAAUCACGCUGGCCG